AAACCCAAUUAUAUUCCUAGCCACUAUAACCAUUCAAUCUCUUAGGCCCUAUAUACUUGGUUUUAGGUUGGGGCGACCACGGAGUAAAACCAAACCUCCAUGAUGUACGGAACAACCUCCUCAUCUAAGAGCUACAGCUCUAAGAAUUAGCACACUAUCAUAAAAUGACCCAUUAUUGAUCAACGAACCAAGUUACCCUGGGGAUAACAGCGCAAUCCAUUUUAAGAGCCCCUAUCGACA
rnacentral:rRNA from 1 species